rnacentral:sRNA from 1 species
CGACAGCGUUGCAAACGGAAUUGUUG